GGGCCCUUAUGCUAGCGGUAAACUUCCUCCUUUGCACGGAGGAGUGGAGGGUUCAAUUCCCUCAGGGUCCACCA
rnacentral:tRNA from 1 species